rnacentral:rRNA from 1 species
CCGUACCGGAAGGUGCGGCUGGAUCACCUCCUUUCU